rnacentral:rRNA from 1 species
UACGUAGGGGGCAAGCGUUGUCCGGAAUUAUUGGGCGUAAAGCGCGCGCAGGCGGCGCAUUAAGUUGGGUGUCAAAGGCAAUAGCUCAACCAUUGUACGCACCCAAAACUGGUGCGCUUGAGUGCAGUAGAGGAGAGUGGAAUUCCCGGUGUAGCGGUGGAAUGCGUAGAUAUCGGGAGGAACACCAGUGGCGAAGGCGGCUCUCUGGCCUGCAACUGACGCUGAGGCGCGAAAGCGUGGGGAGCAAACAGG